AUGGAUGAGCCUGCGUCUGAUUAGCUAGUUGGUGGGGUAACGGCUCACCAAGGCGACGAUCAGUAGCUGGUCUGAGAGGAUGAUCAGCCACACUGGGACUGAGACACGGCCCAGACUCCUACGGGAGGCAGCAGUGGGGAAUCUUGGACAAUGGGGGAAACCCUGAUCCAGCCAUGCCGCGUGAGUGAUGAAGGCCCUAGGGUUGUAAAGCACUUUCGGCCGGAACGAAAUCGCGCGAUCUAACAAGCCGCGUGGAUGACGGUACCGGAAGAAGAAGCACCGGCUAACUACGUGCCAGCAGCCGCGGUAAUACG
rnacentral:rRNA from 1 species